AGUAUUGUUGUGGAGGUUCAAGUUGUGUUUUGUUGACAUACAUGUCUUAGAAUUACCUUAAAACGAGCAUAAAAAGAUAAUGGGAGCUUCUGGUACAAUUUACUGCUUGAACAUGGCCUGAUAUCCAGUGGCCUUUUCUCUCUCUGAAACAUCUACUUUUCAUUCCUGUAAACUGAGAUGCUUGUGUUAUGUAAUUCUCCUUAUCUGCUUUUGGAGUUUUACACUGCUGUUCACAUAGUAUGAAGAUCUGUGAGCAUGCUAUGGGAAAAACCAGAUGGGGUUCAAAGUAUGUUAAUCAGAUGUGCCCCGUAGACUUCCCAAGAGUGAUGCUCUGGCAGUUUGUGACUAGUGGCUGAAUUUUGCUUUGGGUGAAAGAAGAGGAGCGGGAAGUUCUGGGAACAGGAUUGUAGAGGCCUGGCUUCAUCUGCCUGCCUAAAAGCUGCAGGCAGACCCAGUGUGAAAAGGGACAGAAGAGAACUCAUGCAGUGUACGAGCAAAUAGCCAGCGCAGUUCCCUUUCCAUGGCACAAGUGACAGAUGGGCUUUCCUUGUUUAUGCUGAUAAAGUCUGAGAUUUUUUACAUGUAAUUUUAGAUUUGAGAGUAACUUAAAUGCAUAUUUGUUGUAUAUCUAUGGCUAUAAUGGAAAUAAAAACUACUUUAUGUAUUGUUUAUGCAUAUUGUCUAAUAGAGAUGAUUUUGUAAUUCAUUAUAAUCUUGAUUUUAAGAAAUCAGUAAAAUGGCUACUAUUGCUAUUUUGGGGGUCUUUAAUUUUAUUUUUGGGGGGGGUCUUUAAUUUUAGAUGUAUGUUGUGUUUAACUUUUUCCCUGUCUUUUUAUCUUUACUUUUUUGUCCUCCACAUGCUGUGGUUAAACCCUUGCACUUUCUUCACCAAAACACGGCGUGUUUGACCUCAUCUUUGUAUUGAUGUUUAUUACACAGCACUACAAAACCUGCUCCACACCUGGAUGGGGUACAUGUUGUCUUUGGACUGGUUAUCUCUGGUUUUGAAGUAAUCGAGCAGAUAGAAAAUCUGAAAACUGAUGCCGCAAGCAGACCUUAUGCAGAUGUGCGAGUUAUUGACUGCGGGGUGCUUGCCACAAAAUCAACAAAAGAUGUUUUUGAAAAAAAGGGGAAGAAACCAACACAUUCAGAAGACUCAGAUUCCUCUUCCAGUUCCUCUUCCUCUUCAGAAUCAUCUUCAGAAAGUGAAAUUGAACAUCAGAAAAAUAGGAGAAGGAAACAUAAGAGGAGGCCCAAAGCUAAACAUUCUAAGAGGAGACGAAAGGAAGCAAGCAGUUCAGAAGAGCCAAGGAGUAAACACACUGUGAGCCCCAAAGGUCACUCUGAGAGGAGCGAUACCAAUGAAGACAGACCAGUGGAUUCAAAUGCUAAAAGGGAAAAGCCUGUUGUCCGUCCAGAAGAGAUUCCGCCCGUGCCUGAGAAUCGAUUUUUACUGAGGAGAGAUAUGCCUGUUGUCCCAGUGGAGCCUGAGCCGUAAGUAGGAUGAGGACUCUGUGCUUUUAUUUCUCUAGUAGAAACUUGUCAGUUCAUUGCCAUUUCGUAUUCAUUUAUCGGACAAGGCCUGUGUUCAGAGCACUCUGUAGGAGACACCAGAUACCCUGUAGGAUUCACAUUUGAC
ensembl:lncRNA